rnacentral:rRNA from 1 species
UACGUAGGUGGCGAGCGUUGUCCGGAUUUACUGGGCGUAAAGAGCGCGCAGGCGGUCGUGCAAGUCGCGUGUGAAAGCCCCCGGCUCAACUGGGGAGGGUCACGCGAUACUGCUCGACUCGAAGGCAGGAGAGGGAAGUGGAAUUCCCGGUGUAGUGGUGAAAUGCAUAGAUAUCGGGAGGAACACCAGUGGCGAAGGCGACUUCCUGGCCUGUUCUUGACGCUGAGGCGCGAAAGCUAGGGUAGCAAACGGG